rnacentral:siRNA from 1 species
CUAGGUAUCAAAAGAAUCACUGC